rnacentral:ncRNA from 2 species
CAUCGAUGCGGGGAUGGAGUUCCCCUUCACAAGCCGGCCGGCUGAUGACUCCUACCGUUGG